ACCACCGUCCUCUAGUGACCUCGCUGGACCUGGUGGACAUGUAGCGCUGGAUUUAACAUUGCGAUCGUCAAACUACAGAUACACACCAAUCAUAGCUGCACUCACAGCGCAGAGAGGACCAGUGGGAUCACUGGGACACAUGCACAUAACACAACCCGUUCCCUUCUGUGAAAUAUGGCUGCUUUGUAUCUAAUAGAGCAAAAGGGGGACUUGUGAGUCAGUAUCAGAAGCCGAGGGGCGUAACAAAGCAGCGAUAUUUGACCACCUGAACGGGCUGCACACCCUGUGUGCUGUUAUUGGCUUGGGGUUACACCCCCACAUGGAGCACAAAGGCUGUUUGCAGACGCCCAGAAGCAGAAACACCAUCACA